UACUUUAUCGCGCAGUCUGUGUCUAACCGUGGUUGAGGCAGGACGUGCGCCGGCUCGCUCUCGCUCUGAUGAGUGGCGUCCCCGUGCACCAUCACCGAGCUCGGUUUUUAGUUAAAGCUGAGAUCAGGGAAGAAAAAAUGUACGGGCUCGCAAAGGAGAAAAUAGAUCGUACAAACUCAGUGUCUAGAAAAAUAAAUACCAAAAGGAGACAUUUGGUGCCUGGAGAGUGGUCGACCUCUCGCCGCCAGGUCGUGACAAAGAGAAACCUCAUGACACUAAGACAACAGAAAACACGGGGCUCCGGCGACGACAUCGACAGCGUUACCAAAAGCCGAGGCAGAGGAUACCAAGUCGGCGGAUGAACCACUGGUACCAACGCUGAGAGCCAGCUAUGACUCAACUCUUCCACAAGGGUCUGCGUUCGGAGGGGGAUGGUAUAAAAAAAUCGGACUAAGAUAAUGAAAACGAAGGAAUGUUGUCAAGAUAAAGUGAGGGCGACUGUCAGAGCGAGGGUCGCCAAGUCACGCAGACUACGCGGAUGAACUGCAAGAUAAUGCUACCUGGUCGUCUCACAACACUGCGGUCUGCUGGAGCCUCGUAACGUGUCUGCGAUGGACUGGGCACCUCGAGGAAGAUCUUGUUUAAGAUGAAGGAGAGAACCCGUCUGCGUCACUGCUUCCUUGCGCGGGAUCGUAAGAGCAGCAGGGCAACAGACAGGAAUCGCAGCCCCAUCGCUAUCCAAAUCAUCAAUCACAGAAGACAUCAUCGGUGAAAAGCUUUCUUCUGAACUUCAGAAAGAAAUGAUGAAGGACUUCCGCCUACCUCCGUCACCCUCCCCUCCCUCCGGCCAAAUCUUUCCAAUCGCAUUUGCAUCCACAAGCAAUGGGGAAUUUCUUGCUCAGCAAAGAUAUUCCACACGCCCCAGGGGUCUUUCCCUCUUUCAUGCCACUCUCCAUCAUGGCAUAAAUAUUUAAGGAAUUAUGGGACUGUUCCUGCUGAGCUUUUACCUGCCAUAUUAAGGAAAUAAACUGAUAUACAUAAAUAAGUAAUAAUUUCAUAAACUGUUAACAGAUUCAUUUCUAGGAUGUUAAGAAUCAUGAUAAUUUCUAUGUCAAUUCAGAUGAAAAUUACAGACUCAAGUCAAUUUCACAUUUUUACUUAAAUGAAAAGAUGAUGCAAUAAUUCAAAAAAAUAUGAUGAAAAAUAGUUCUUGGAAAGAUAACUUUUUCUCUGUUUUGCCUUGUUAAAAGAAAGUUUGUUUUGAACUUUAUAAUGUCUUGUAACUUUCUAGAUCCAGUUUCCACAUUAAUAGAUAUGAGCAGAUUGUGGAUUUAACUUUUUAUUUAACAAUCUAUCUCCAUGAAAGAAGAGAAUCUGCACAAGCAUGAUUUAAUUCAUAUGUCCACAUACAGCUAAAUGAUACCUACAGUUCUGCAAAUAUAAAAAAUAUAUAUAACAAACCUAAGCAGCUGUUUCAGUGAACACCAUUAUGUAUAACUACAAAGACCAACAAAAGUUACACACAACUGAGAAUCAAGGUACAUAAAGAGACUCCACAAUAAUUCAGGAAGCCUCUACACAUGAUAAACCAAACAAGACAAGUGAAACAGCCCCUCCACCCCUUGCAAUUCCACAACUGUUUUAAAGUAUCAGGUUUCCAAGACAUUCAUUAUCAAUCCAAUGUAAAAUAACAGAAUUUUCUGCAGUAUUCCAUGUUAUCACUGUUAAUAUUCUUCAUAAAUGCACCACAAAAUGUAAACAGAUUUUUCAUUUUAUAGCAUACAGGGAAUAUUACAUAUAAUAUAGGUAAUUUCAUACAUAUGCUUGCACUUUUCCGAGAUCAUGUCUUUCAGAAUGCAUUCCUAUGUCAGAUGAAUUCCACUAUCACCAUUUGCUUACCAGAAUAUAAACAAAAGUGCAGCUUAUAGAAAGAUAAAUAACACCACCAUAAUUUCCCCAACGCUUCAUCUUAAAGAUACAAAGACUCAUUUUCAUUCAGAGCACUACUUUUAAAUGCCUACACUCAGUCUUCAUAAAUCUUGAAAAUCAUUUCACUUCAUAUCGUAUCAAGGUUCACAAUAUCAGUAAAAUGCAAGCCUUCCUACUGUGGUCAGGCUGUUUGUUUUGUUUCAAGCACUUCAGUCCAACAAGCAAUUAUCUAAGAAGGGCACGUGCAGACUGCUGAAUCAUUGACUCAAGAGGGGAUCAAGGAGGAAGAGUCUCACUACUACAGAAGUCUUGGAAACAUGCAAUGUGAUGCAUUCUAUGCUGGGUAUGGAUGUGUUCUGAGAAGACUGAUCUGAAGUUCAUCCUUUACUCAGAUGGAAAAAAAUAAAUCAUAUAUUUAAACAUAAUAA
rnacentral:lncRNA from 1 species